UUAAUUGAAACAUUUAUUUCAAGAAUAUUAGUGUUUAUGUUGGAAUAAAAUAGCUGGACUAUUUGCUUGUCAAUGUAUUUAUGUAUUUAUAGAAAAAUCCUUAAAAUAUAAUAAAUCGACAAAAACCUAAUUGAUGCUAUAUCAAGUUAGUUGGUUUGGUUCCAAUACUUUUAAAACCAAUUUAGUUAUAAAAAGUUAAAAGAAAAAAUCAAACUAAAUCGAAUCAUGAACACCCCUAUGUGCUUGUCCAAUGUGAGAAAAAUAACUUAUUUAUUUUAAAUGUAAUGAUUUUGU
rnacentral:lncRNA from 1 species